GGAGAUAUUAAAAGUGACAAUAUUCUUCUCGAUGAUGAAUUUAAUCCUAAGAUUAGAGAUUUUGGAAUUUCCAAAGAAUUUGCGGAUUCAGAAACUCACGUUUCCACUAUCUCAAUGGGAACUCCAGAUUAUCUCGCCCCCGAGCAUUGCACCGAAGAUGGCUAAAAUAAGAGGCUCACUGAUAAGUCUGAUGUAUUUUCUUUCGGUGUUGUGCUUUUAGAGCUGAUUACGGGAAAAUUAGCCGUUUUUGAGAGGGAACGCAGGGAAUAUAUUUUCUUAACUAUUUGGGCCGUGCCUCUACUGAAACAAAUUUUGGAUGCUGAGUAUCAAGAUUUGCAUGCUGAAAAUUGUAAAGAAUUUUUUGAUUCCAAAUUACCGAAUAAUUUUGAGGAAAAUGAUAUGAAACGACUCAUUUAUUGUGCUGCUGCUUGUGUAUAUAAACCUGCCAAGUUACGCCCACAUAUGUGCAAGAUAGUUAAAGUACUAAAUGGAGAUAUGGAACCCAAAACUAUAUGGGUGAGAAGUGAUUGCAAGUACCUAUACAAUGGGUCACCUUACGCUCCAUUUCCUCAAGCUCAGGGAACCUCCAGCUCUUGAGCUCUAUCCAAUACAUGAAUUAUCCUCGCCUUGUAACAAAAAAGUGUGUUCUUGCUAAAUGCACGUGCUUUUCUAAGGGAUCAAUUAAAUAAUAAGAAUGUGUUCCUUGCUGAAUUUUUUUAAAAUAUUAAUAAUGAUUGAUAUUGAAUAA